UAUCUGCUUAACCAACGAGCCACCCAGGCACCCCGCCCCUCUUUUUUUAAGGAACAAGUUUUACAUUUUCCUUAUCCUUUAUUCCACUGCCAAUUUCUUUGUUCCUGAGUAACGGUUCGGUGAUCUUGGUUUAGUCCUUUAAGACCCAUCCUCAUUUCCUUCUUUAGCUCUUCUAGCCUCAUACCUCGUGCUUGUGUUAGUUUAUUAACUCGAGCUGGGGAUUUCUGAUUGUCAGGGGACAGUGUUAGCAGCUCUGUGAAAGUGUUCUGGUGAGGAUCAGGGGUGUGUGGAUCAUAAUUGCAUGUCUACCCUCCCACCUGGGAGGCAGGAUUCAAGGCGGGAGGACUGCCUCCCUGUCCACGAAUGGCAUGGCUAUGGCGCUGUGAAUACCGUGGCUUUGACCGUGUGGACCGGCGCAGCUCAGGAAGGUGUAGCAUCAGGCUCUGGUGGACCCCCACAACCCAGACAGAGCCUCACUUCACCUUUUUUCUUCUCUUUCUGAAGACAAAAAAAUGUUUUCCUUCCCCUACUAUCUCAGUGACACAGUGCUGAUGACAUAAUGAAGGUGGAAGUAUCUUAUGAACACAAGAGAAAUGGUUAAAUAAAGCCUAGGUAUUACUAUAACAGGAAGUGCAUCCGUGGGUUUUGUUCCUUAAAAUAAGUUCAGACUGUAAACAAUAACGUCUGCAUCCUCAGGAGAAGGCACUUAUAAAUAUUUCAAAAGCACUGCACAUGUCCGCAACAGAGAUAGUAUCUCGUGCUCAGCGUGUACUCAGCAAACAAGAGUUCCUGAAUGUUCUCAUACUAAGUUGGCUAGAUAAGUGGGUUAUAAUCGCCAUCCUCUAAAACUCCUGAUGGGUGGAGUUUCUGGAAAAAUCCCACGGAAGAUGCUAUCCCAAGGUCCCAAACUUGAUAAUAGUAUUAAUGUUUUUUUUUUUUUUUUAAUCACAGUUUUCUCAAGUGUGCGUGAGGACUUAGAAAUCUAUUCAGCACACCCAGAUGGUAAAGCAGUCCAUACUUUAUGGAAGGUGGGAGCCAGGAUCAUGGUGGCUGUUACAGUCGGGAUGCUAGUCCUUUCUAAUCAGUUAAGUCUGCCACUAAAUUCACGUGCAAGAAAGAGGAAAUUAGGUGGAUUUUGUAUUAUAAAUCCAUAGAGAGUUUAUAAAAAAAUACACAUUUUUAGAUUGAUGGUCCUUCCCAUUCUUGUUCCUGUCCCUCCACUUCUCAUGUCCCCAGGUCCUUUAACUUUGCCAUCUCCUUCCCCCAUUUUUGGUUGGGACAGAUUUCCCAAUAGUGAGGAGGGUCUCAGUGCUAAUGAGGAAAAGCCAUUUCAUCUAGCAGAAAGGGUUUGCUUUCCUUCUUAUGGGACCAUUAUCAGCCUCCUCAGGUCAAACAGAUUCUGUAGGACUUUCCUACUCAUGAGUAAAAGAAGUCCUCUUGGGAACUUGUUACCCUUCAAACAAAUAUUUCAUCUUCUGCCUUCCCUGGUACUGCCACGGGUACUGAAAGGAGUGUCUACACUCUACUGCUCUACCUUCUCACUUAACUUUUUUCAGCAUCAUUCCUGUCCCUUCCAGUUGACUGAAACUGCUUGCUUAACUGCUCCAUUCCAAUCACUCUUCUAAUGCCCAGGCCACUGGCUUUGCCAUGACCCUGAUUUUUUUCGCCCUUUGUAUGACAUUAUAUGCUAUUGACUACUCUCUGUACAUCGGAGCUUUCUUCUUCUCUGUAUCGUGUCAUACUGUACCAUCGUGGAUUCCUCCCUACCUCUCUUUUUGGACUUUCCCCUUCUCCUCUAACAUUAAAAGACAGGCAUUGGCAAAACCUUUGCCCUGAAUGUCUUCUCCCUGAAUAGCUUUAUUGAUCUCAGCCACUCACCUCUCCAAAAUUUCUGUCCAGCCCUACAUUGUCCAGCCCUAAACAUUGGACUCAAACUUCCAAAUCCAUUCCAGACAGUGUUGACUGCCUAAGUGGUAGACCGUUGCCACAAAUGAAAAAACCUGGUUUUGUACUACCCCUGCCUUUUCAUUUUUUAAUUGACUCCUUUCUUUCUUUCUUUCUUUAAUUGACUUCCUUUCCUGUGUAUCCAAACUUGACACUCUAGAAUCUCUCCCAAUUCCUAUUUGUCCCCCAGGUGCAGUCAGCUUAAGGCCUCAGCAUUGAGUAUCUACAAUACCCUUCCUCCUUUCUUUUCUGUUCCAUUUCCACUGCUACUGCUCAAAUCCUAACACUUUUUAACCCACUCUCAGCGCUAUUGCAUCAGUGGCACAAAGGGACUCUUCGCAGGUUUUCCUCUUUGCUUAGAAACCUUGAGCUUCCUGUUCCCCGUCCUGCUUCUGCCUGUGUUUCUCAGUCUUCCACAACAUAACUUCGUCCUGUCCCUCUGCUCUAUCUCCUGUGGCAUCCCCAUACAUUCUUGCCAAAAUAUAUUGUAGUUCUUUAGAUCUCCCCAUGCCUAUUCAUUGGGUGUUUUCUUCACAUACCUUGUGUCCCUGUCAAAAUAUUGCAUAUCCUCCUAGUUCUAUCUGAAGUGCUCCUUUGUAAAGCCAUUUCUGAGAACCAAUGACCAAUUAAAUGUGGUCUCUCCCUCUGUGUCCCCCCGCACCCCAAGAACUGUGUUUCUACAUCUUUCAUGCUCUUUAAAAUAUUCGGUCCUGUCAUAAUGUCAUAAUCAUUAAUAUUCUGCUGCUCUUCACCCAACUAGCUCAUAAGGUGCUCAAGAACAGAGCACGAUACUGUUUUCCACUACUAGCAGAGCCUAGUGUAGUGUUUCAUCUAUAAUAGGUGCUUAAUUAACAUUUCUGAAUCGAAUGGACCAACUGACGUCCAACUGAGUCUUCUCCAGCGUGUUUAUCUAGUACGGAAGAACCAAGUCAGCUUUUUAGGAAAAGCUCUGACUUAAUCAGACUAUUGAAAUGCACACUUAUGCUUCUCAUUUACAUAGUAAACCCUUCCUUUGCCUGGGCAGUGGAGUCAACCUCACAUUUUUCCUCUAAAAAUCUCUAUUUUUUAAAUCACCUAAGAUUUCUACAUAUGAAUAGCUUUAGCUAAAUCUCGACAAAUAUGCAAAGGUAAUGCUUGACUGAAAGCUUUGCUUUCUGUCUCACACUCAUCUCCACAAUCUGUUUUGGAGUUAGAGACGUCACAUGCAUUAACAGUAGAGACAUAUGUCCCGAUUGUUGAGUGUUUUCUAACAUCCCCGCAACUCCUGGGACUUCAUGUCACUACUCUAGAAACUUUGUCCAUUGUAUGUUCAUAUCUGGGCGCAUGGCCAAACCACCUUUAUAUAAAUUUAGCGCAAAUAAUUUAGAGCCUUCCCGCAUUCUAGCUGGCAACCCCAAUACGUGCACGUUAACUUCACAGCAGGCUUGCUGGGGACGUUGUAUAAAGUGAGGUUCUCUGGAACAGAAGUCAACACAGAAUGGAUCCUGAGCAGAAGGAUGUAAAUAUGUUAGUCCGUAUUACCAGAUAAAUACCAAAGCCCAAGUCUUGGUGCAGCUACAUGAAGAUACCACUCUGGGGAGGAGCUAGACUGAGCUAGCCCAGAGGUUGCUGAAAUAGACAAUAAGGGGUUUCAGCUGCUCCCCUCAUUCACAUCAUCCCAAUGUUUCCUGAGUGUUUCUGUGGGUCACAGUGAACUGGUGUCAACCCAAGAGGAAGAGAUGAACAAAUGGCAUGGGCGUGGCUACCCCUACAAUAGUGAGUCAUCCCGGCCACCACAGUUCAUUUUUGUAUUUCUUACCACCUUUCACUGAGUUCUCUGGGUUACCGCCAAAUGCUUCUGUUCUCUGUCUAGUCUAGAAACCCAUAGCACACCCCCAUCCUUCCAUCUCCAGGUCGUCCGCAACCAGAGAACAGAACGACUUAGAUGAUAAACUCUUGCAUUUCCAUGGAGGUCAAGGACGAGCUGGGGCAGAGGCAGAAGUGCUGCCUGACUGUACCUUCAUUUUAUUCUCCUUUGUGCCAGUCCCAUGGCGACCACCUUCAUCGUUCCCUUGGGUGACUUGCUUAGCUAACAGUGUGGUCUUCAUGUGUGAUGCCGAUAGGAUCCCGUCACGAUCCUGAAUUCUAGAAGUGACUCAGCCUUUGUUUUGUAGAGCUGUGGGCUCCAGUAUUUCAUCUUUCUGAGCCUGCAUUUCUUCAUCUGGGAAAUGAGAGAGAGAGAGGGUCUGUGCUUUCAGCCCUUUGACCUCUAAUCUAACAGCAUUCUGUGUGUGCAGGGGAAUCCUGUCGCCAUAAAAGCAUAUUCCAAAGAUGGUUUUUCUGAUGAUUUAGCUGGGCGCUUAUCCCUGGUCCUUCCUUUAUUUUUGACAAGACACCCCCACAUCUUUUCUCUUUGUCUCUCUUUAGCUCUGAGCUACUCCAGCUCAGUGCAGACCCUCCCUGCCUUUUGCAAAACAGCCCCUCCCCUUUCCUUACUCUUUCUUUUCUUCUGAGACACUUUUCUAUGUCGUCCGUUUUCUACCCCUAAAUUUUAUCAGACAUUUUAGAUUCUAUCUCGGCAAGAUUUAUUCCAGAGAAUUGCCCAUUUCCCCACCUUGACCCUAGUCUUCUCCAUUAACAGGGGAUUAUUUUAACUCAUCGGUUAUUUGGAAGAACUGGGAACGUGGUCCUCAGAAAUGAUCAUUUCUUGUUCUGCUGUCACUGAAUAUGAUAUUUGCAGGCAGUGGAAAUUCUGUGCAGGAAUAAGCUGUUUAUUCUUGAAACUAGAUGGGCCACAGGCCAAGUUCAAGGCGUAAUUUAACUGCAAUUGAUAACCUAAGUGUUAAUCGAGACUCGGAUUUGAUCACUAACACAGAAAUAGCUCUACCUUACCUUUCUGCUCAACAUAGCUUAUUAAAAUUAGAUUGUAAAAAAUAGAAAUUGCAUUGGAAAAAAUACAGAGGAAUGACAACAGCGAUUUUGUUAAUGAAUCCCACCUCACUCUUUAUGUCUCAAAGGCAGCUAAACUAUGUAAUAAGCUAUGCAUCUAUUUGUAAAACAGUCUCGAAUUAAGGAGCUUAUUCAGAUGCCAUUGUAAAAAUAAUUUUGUGAAAUUGUGGUCUAUCAACAGGAGAUAAGAUGGCACUUUGUUGUCGCCUGCUGAGGCCCAUUAUGAAUAUUCUAUUUCAGAGGCAAAUCACACUGUAAAUACAAUGUUCAGAUUCAUUUAUUUCCACAAUAGCAUUUUUGCAAAGGUGCAAUUUCAUAAUUUGACUUAGCAGUGAUAGCACAUCAUCAUUUCAAAGCUCUUUAUAACCACUGGUUAAUUCACACAUCCUUGGGAAAUUGUUUAUUUGUACCAGAUCCAUUUUAAAGUGAAAUCACCACAACAUACAAAGAUAAAUGAACAGGGACAGAGAUUGUGGUUAACUGUCCUUCUACCCGUUUCCUUUCCUUAGCACUUGUGACUAGGCACUUCUGAACAUGCGUGUGUUCUCAAUAAAAACCAAGGGCUCUAUUAAUGAUUCUAUUACGGGCAGGAAGCUUGGUUUAAAACAGUAAAUCCAAGUCAUUCAAGAUGCAAAUGCCAGCAGGACUUGAAAUGUAAGAACUUAUUAAUUGUACUUUUCUCCUCUGUUGGGGUCCCCGAGCGAUAUAUUUAUUAAAGCAAAUGAUUAACGGUGGACGUAGAAUAAAGUUAUUUAGCUAAUUCCCAGCAUUAAUUGGAAAAGCUCUACUAUUUCUAAACGUCUCAACACAAAAAAGAACUUCAACUGCCAACCUCCAUUAUUUUUGUCACCACAUCUUUCCUAGGACCGUCCUUGAGAUUUAAGCUCUUCAUGUUUCUUACCUGUGUUGUUUUAGUGUUUGGUGUAGAGACUGAUUAUACAGGCCCUGAGAUGGAUGACGAGCAUGAGUUCACUGUUUAACACCCAUCACAACGUAUGCUU